CGGGUGAGUAACACGUGGGUGACCUGCCUUCAGCUCUGGGAUAAGCUUGGGAAACUGGGUCUAAUACCGGAUAUUCACGCAUGUCUGCAUGGGUGUGUGUGGAAAGUUUUUUCGGCUGGGGAUGGGCCCGCGGCCUAUCAGCUUGUUGGUGGGGUGAUGGCCUACCAAGGCUUCGACGGGUAGCCGGCCUGAGAGGGCGUCCGGCCACACUGGGACUGAGACACGGCCCAG
rnacentral:rRNA from 1 species